rnacentral:rRNA from 1 species
GCCUGCUAGUCGCACGAGUUCACACUCGUGGCGGAAGCUCAGUAACACGUGGUCAAACUACCCUGUGGAUAGGAAUAAUCUCGGGAAACUGAGGGUAAUUCCUGAUACAGCUUCCAUGCUGGAACUGCAGGAAGCUGGAAACGCUCCGGCGUAUGCCAGACUUCGUCUGGCUGCGCAGCGGGACUUCGUCCCGCCAGCGCCACAGGAUGUGACUGCGGCCGAUUAGGUAGACGGUGGGGUAACGGCCCACCGUGCCAGUAAUCGGUACGGGUGAUGAGAGUCAGAGCCCGGAGACGGUAUCUGAGACAAGAUGCCGGGCCCUACGGGGCGCAGCAGGCGCGAAACCUUUACACUGCACGCCAGUGCGAUAAGGGGACUCCGAGUGCGAGGGCAUACAGUCCUCGCUUUUCUGUACCGUAGGGUGGUACAGGAACAAGUGCUGGGCAAGACCGGUGCCAGCCGCCGCGGUAAUACCGGCAGCACAAGUGAUGGCCGAUAUUAUUGGGCCUAAAGCGUCCGUAGCUGGCCAGACAAGUCUGUUGGGAAAUCCACGCGCCCAACGCGUGGGCGUCCAGCGGAAACUGUCUGGCUUGGGGCCGGAGGACUCGAGGGGUACGUCCGGGGUAGGAGUGAAAUCCCGUAAUCCUGGACGGACCAUUGGUGGCGAAAGCGCCUCGAGAGGACGGACCCGACAGUGAGGGACGAAAGCCAGGGUCUCGAACCGGAUUAGAUACCCGGGUAGUCCUGGCCGUAAACGAUGUCUGCUA